GUGUGUGUUGAAUGAAAUGAAAUAUUUAUGGAUGGUAAUGAAGUAAUCUUCGAAGUCGGUCAAAAAGAACUCGAUGACUGGCACAAUACUCGCUCGUGACGGUAAACAUUGCGAUGUAUACUUUCUUCUUAGGAUCAAAGUAUGUUUUCAAAGAUUUUCCAACAAUUUAUGAAGUCAAAGAGAAAACUAGCGAUGUUGGCACAGUGGAUUCACUAUCUAAUUCUUUAGUUUUGUGGCACAUAACUUUUCAAUGCAUUUUUCAAUGUACGAUACUCCAAGAUUCCAUUGGGAGAAGAAUGGUAUGCAAAGGUUCUAAUCCUUUCACAUCCAAUUAAGUUAGUGAGAGCUUUAAAUAAGCUGCUUCAAAUUGAAAACCAUGAUCAGUUGUGACGGACAUAAGGAGCACUAAAUCUUCUCUCAAGCCCUUGACUGGUAUGUUACUGAAGCUACAUUGAACGCGUCUGAAACCCGGUCCAUCUAACAACACUGGCUACGAGCACGUGAAAAUUUCUUGGAUCUGCCGGGAAUCGAAUCAUGGUGGAAAGGAUAACCUGGAAUCGAGGGAAAUCUUCUGUCACGAUUCCUGUUAUCCUUGAGAAAUUCUAAACUAAAUAUCCAAGAAAAAGGAUUUCGGAAAUACCGAAAAGAUAUUUAGAAAUCGUUAAUUCCAUAUAAUAAUUCCACCAUAUAGUAUGGAGUGGUUUUCUCGCGGGAAAUUUAGAUUUCUUAUCAAUCAAGGCCAACGUUUUCAUCAUAGAACAAGGUAAAUUUUCAAUGAUAUCUGACACUGUUAUAAACAGUUCUUUAUCCAAAUGACGGAGAUUUGAGUUAAGCUUGACUGACUGAGUCAGAAUGGAUUUUAUAUGCAUAAAAUUCACUUUCUAAUUGAGCAAACUAGAGUUUUGGAUGUUUGUAUGCUAUAAUAUUGGAAGCUUAAUAAGGCGAAACUCAUUAAAAUUAAUUUGGCUUGGCUCAUCGAAUCGAUGGUAGUUCAAUGUUUCCGGAAUAUUAAUAGGAGUCUUGUCUACAGGCAUGAUGGGUACAUUCACAGAAAAAAUGCUGGAAUGGCUGGGUCUCCAAAAGAAUGCAUGGAUUUUUUUGCUAGUAAAUGACUAGUUUUCAAAUAAACUUUAUUGAAGAAAAAUGAUAAAACAUGUUGAUGUAAUGUAUUAUAAUUUGAU